CCUACGGGGGGCUGCAGUGGGGAAUAUUGGACAAUGGGGGCAGCCCUGAUCCAGCCAUGCCGCGUGUGUGAAGAAGGCCCUCGGGUUGUAAAGCACUUUCAGUGAGGAAGAACGCCUGGUGGUUAAUACCCAUCAGGAAAGACAUCACUCACAGAAGAAGCACCGGCUAACUCCGUGCCAGCAGCCGCGGUAAUACGGAGGGUGCGAGCGUUAAUCGGAAUUACUGGGCGUAAAGCGCGCGUAGGUGGCUUGAUAAGCCGGUUGUGAAAGCCCCGGGCUCAACCUGGGAACGGCAUCCGGAACUGUCAAGCUAGAGUGCAGGAGAGGAAGGUAGAAUUCCCGGUGUAGCGGUGAAAUGCGUAGAGAUCGGGAGGAAUACCAGUGGCGAAGGCGGCCUUCUGGACUGACACUGACACUGAGGUGCGAAAGCGUGGGUAGCAAACAGGAUUAGAUACCCUUGUAGUC
rnacentral:rRNA from 1 species